rnacentral:rRNA from 1 species
UACGUAGGGUGCAAGCGUUGUCCGGAAUUAUUGGGCGUAAAGAGCUCGUAGGCGGUCUGUCGCGUCGGCUGUGAAAACUCGGGGCUCAACCCCGAGCCUGCAGUCGAUACGGGCAGACUAGAGUGCGUGUAGGGGAGACUGGAAUCCUGGUGUAGCGGUGAAAUGCGCAGAUAUCAGGAGGAACACCGGUGGCGAAGGCGGGUCUCUGGGCAGUGAACUGACGUGGAGGAGCGAAAGCGUGGGGAGCAAC